rnacentral:snoRNA from 1 species
GGGUGUUCAUGCUGCUGCGUGACAUGUCCCUCCCCACAAACCUUGUUACGACACCAGCACAUUACCCGUCUGACG